GCACAAUCAAGGUUUCUGAGUAGUUGAAAUAGAUAAGUCUUGAGUCAAUCAGUACAUCUGUACCACAUUCAUGUGGCAAAUGCUGCUUUAUGGAGAUGUUUCUAAUACUGACCUACAAUAAUUCAGCCAAGAUCACGUUUCUACUGUCUUCAGGAAAUGAGAAAAAUGAAUCCAGGAAAUUUCCAUCUUUAACUAUACUCUGUAAAUGUGCUGUCCAAUACACAGAUAGCUACUGAGCACUGGAAUAUAGCUAGUCUGAAUGGAGAUGUUCUAAGCAAAGGUGACCUCCAUGAUUACUCCACCAUACCUUUGGGAAACUGACAUAAGAUAGUGGACAACUAUAAUGGAAAGAAUAGUGACUACGGUUUCUCUCCACCCUCCUCUAAUUCUGCAUUAGAAAUGAAAAAAAGCUUGACUGGUAAAAUUCUGAAACAGACAAUGAGCUAUUUAAGUGAUAAUUACUGAAUCUCAUUUUUAGAAGCCCAUUAACAGGUAUCUCUUUAGUCAUGAGAAAAUUAUUCAUAAAUAUUAAAUUGUGUGAUCACAUUGCAAGUUUCUUUCAAAUUAUAGAAUCUGACUAAUUUCACAGUAACUGUUUGCCAUUAAUUGGCUUUAAGAUUUAAUCAAGUAAAGACAUCAUUGUUUAAUUCUAAUUUGUAAAGCCAAAAAAAGUGUAACAUUAUUAUCUUUAGUCAAACUUCUUCAAAUGUUUAUGCAAGGUAGAAAUUGAAAACAACAGGUACUCCUGUGCUUACAGUUUCUCCAGUUCAAAGAACAAAAUUCAUCAAUGGGAAGCUGCAGUGGAUUGUAGAGUAAAAUCUUGCUGCCCAACUAGAGAAUAAAAAGAGUUUGACCAGACUUAUAACAAUGACAUAAUGGCCAUUUUGUUGAGUUCUUAAUGAGUUUAGUAGGUAGUGAAAUGGGAAAGGUUCCCUUGUCCCCCUUGCAGGGUGUGUGGUGGGGGUGUAGCUUGCUUCUUCAGUGCCCCACUGCUCAAACUUCUAGGGGAGCAUACAGAUGGGCAGGUUGUGGGGCUCCAACCCCACGGCAGUGUCUAGGGGUGAAUGUUUACAGCUCCUGAAGUGCCAGUGGGCGUGUGUUACAGGGUGCUCUGUUAGUUUGCCCUCUCUAGGCAGCUUGUGUUAACCAGCUCAGUUGGACUUUGUUGCAAGGAUAGAAGACUUUCUGUAUCUCCAGGUUCUUGCCUUGGUGUACCAGAAGAAUCAAUCACACAUGGUCUUGGAGAAUGAGUGCAAAGUUUUAUUGAGUGCAGGUAGCUCUCUGCUGCUCUUCCACCAGUAUGCUCUCCACAACCAGCCGCUUGUGUGUUCUUCCACUGAUGUGUCCUCUCAAUGUCCAGACGCUUCUGUCUCUGCCUUGCUAGGAUCUUGGGCUUUUAUAGACCUUGGAUGGGGAGGUGGUGAGCCAGGGUGGUCUUGGGAAAUGCAACAUUUGGGCGUGAAGUCAGGAGUGCCUGUUCUCACCUAGGUCCGUGGGGGUAAAGCCCUAGCUAGGGACCAUGCCUUCCUCUACCCAGCACUUCCCUUCCUCAUUCUGUAUCAUUUAAAGAGACCACACUCCUCCCUUCCCAGCACUCCUGUAUCAGUAGGAAGAUAGAAGAAAACUCUAGAUCACCAUCAAGUUCAAGUCAUUUCAGAUUUUCAGUGAAUAUAUGUUUGCUGUGUCCUUCAGGUACCAAGAUGCAGGGAAAUGAUUAAAAGGCCCUGAGAUAUACAAUACUGAAUGGUAGGGAGGAGGAGGCCUUCUAGGUUGGAAAGUCCCGUAGCUGACUAGCUACUAAAUGUUCUAUCAGCUAUUGAUAAGACCGUGUUCAGAACAUACGGAAAUUGUAGGAUAUAAUUUUUGUAUGUUACUUGUCACCAGCUGUUCAAUAUUAUGAAUUAUUCCUGAGACAUUACAGAAGUUGAGAAUGAAUUGUGCCCAUAAACAGAAAACAUAUUAACCUAUACAAUACACUCGUUUUCCUUUUAGAGACACGAAUACCCCUAGCUCAAGGAGUCGAUAUGUAUAAAAUAGGCAACUAGGGGCAUGCAAAUAUUGUGGAAAUGGUGUUUCUGAUUGGCACUGGCAGAUUUAUUAUUCGAAAUAAUCCUGUUGGCAAAAAAAGGAAAUUUUUUUUCCGUAUCAUAAAAUCUGAUUUCAAAAACUUGCUCCUUUUUGACUUUCUCUAUAAGCUUGUAAGUCUGCAUUCUUCUCUCAUUUUUAUAUCCAGGCUCUAUUGUAAUUUAUCUGUUGCUAACCAGUUUUCAA
ensembl:lncRNA novel transcript